rnacentral:rRNA from 1 species
AUACGGAGGAUGCGAGCGUUAUCCGGAUUUAUUGGGUUUAAAGGGAGCGUAGGCGGGAGCUAAGUCAGCGGUUAAAUGGUGCGGCUCAACCGUGCCCUGCCGUUGAAACUGGGUUUCUUGAGAGUGCAAGAGGCGGAUGGAAUUCAUGGUGUAGCGGUGAAAUGCUUAGAUAUCAUGAAGAACUCCGAUUGCGAAGGCAGUCCGCUGGGGCACGUCUGACGCUGAUGCUCGAAGGUGCGGGAAUCAAACAGGAUUAGAUACCCUGGUAGUCCGCACGGUAAACGAUGAUUACCCGCUGUCGGCGGCAGACAGUCGGCGGCCAAGCGAAAGCGAUAAGUAAUCCACCUGGGGAGUACGCCGGCAACGGUGAAACUUAAAGGAAUUGACGGGG